rnacentral:rRNA from 1 species
UUGGCGGACGGGUGAGAAAUACAUCGGAAUCUACUCUGUCGUGGGGGAUAACGUAGGGAAACUUACGCUAAUACCGCAUACGACCUACGGGUGAAAGCAGGGGACCUUCGGACCUUGCGCGAUUGAAUGAGCCGAUGUCGGAUCAGCUAGUUGGCGGGGUAAAGGCCCACCAAGGCGACGAUCCGUAGCUGGUCUGAGAGGAUGAUCAGCCACACUGGAACUGAGACACGGUCCAGACUCCUACGGGAGGCAGCAGUGGGGAAUAUUGGACAAUGGGCGCAAGCCUGAUCCAGCCAUACCGCGUGGGUGAAGAAGGCCUUCGGGUUGUAAAGCCCUUUUGUUGGGAAAGAAAUCCAGCCGGCUAAUACCUGGUUGGGAUGACGGUACCCAAAGAAUAAGCACCGGCUAACUUCGUGCCAGCAGCCGCGGUAAU